rnacentral:rRNA from 1 species
UACGAGGGGGGCGAGCGUUGUUCGGAAUUAUUGGGCGUAAAGGGUGCGUAGGCGGUUUGGUAAGUCUCUUGUGAAAUCUAUGGGCUCAACUCAUAGUCUGCAAGGGAAACUGCCGGGCUUGAGUGUGGGAGAGGUGAGUGGAAUUUCCGGUGUAGAGGUGAAAUUCGUAGAUAUCGAGAGGAACACCGGUGGCGAAGGCGGCCAACUGGACGAAUACUGACGCUGAGACACGAAAGCGUGGGGAGCAAACAGG